CAAGAAUAGAGACUGCCCUAUUUAUCCCUGAGCUUCCAAAAUCUGGAACAAUAGCCACCAAAAAUAGCAAGGACCACAGCAGCUGCAAGGAGAUAAAUGAACCAUGUGGAUGCCCUCAAGAUGUGCAUGACCAUGGAAUGGGAGACUGGAGGGACACUUGGAUUAAAACCUUGGACCGGGUUCGCCCAGUAUGAGCCAUGAGCCAGCUGAACCUGAAUGCAAAGAAGGAAUGAAGACCGACUAGAGUCAUGCAUGCUUAAUGGACCAAUGCGUCCUGACUCAGCUCUUUUCUACCUGAAUACAAGAGACCCUAAUAGUUAGGCAGGAAUAUCAUCACCUCUAUUCAGCAUGAAGUUACAGAAGAUAGACCUUCAUCCUUCUGUAACCCCUAGGAUUAAGGGUCCUCUUGUAAAAGGGAAAGGGGAGAUAUGUGGGAAGCAUUCAAACCAGAGUGACUCCAGUUUGAAUAAGGGCUAAGAAAAAUGAAGCUGGAUGACCAACUGGCAAUUCAAGCCUUCACAGCCUGCAAUUGCCUUCUCAAUUAAAAGAGGCCAACUUUUAUGCUACUAAUUACGAUAUCUAGUAAUAAUGAUAGUAAUAAUGACAUUUCUCUUUUACAAAAAAGAGAAAGGGGGCAUGUUGGGAAAAAGCUGAAUAUUGGGAAGAAAACUGAGGCAGGGCUUGCAUGUCUGACAUAAUGUCCUCUGGAAUGUGUCUAGACUUUCUGGCUCCUUGCUUCUAGCCUUCCUAGUCUCCUAGAUCCAUUGUAUUCCCAUUAUCACAAGUAGCAGAACACGUUCCUUAUAAAUGCUAAACUAUCACAGCUGUUCAUCAUGCACCUGCCCUUUUGACCUCCUCAUUCUCACCACCUGUUCCUUUGUUGGAUUACCAAUAAAUAGCAUGGGCUCCCAGAGCUCAGGAACUUUGCAGCCUCCACAGUCGCGAUGGCCCCCUGCUCCCACUUUACUUCUCAAAUUGUCUUUUUCUCAAUCCUUUGACUCUGCCGGACUUCAUUACCCCCACCACCUGGUGUUGGGCCUGAUAACCCCAACAUUUCUAUGCCUUUCUCAUAUCCAGGAGAGACUGAGAAUCUGACAACUUUAAAAGUCUGAAAAGAAACAUUUACCAUCUAUUCUCUCUGAAGGAGUCUUCAUGUACCUAACAAGGCCAGCUUUGCUAGCUAAUAUUCUUCUUUUCUCUCUCUCUUAACCUUUCUUGCCACUCAACCUGAUUUACCAACAUAACCUGUUUCUGGCCAUGCUCUCAGUCUGCAUUCUUUACUGUAGCCUCAGGAUGGUAAUGUAAACCAAAAAUGAAAUUUUAAGCAGCCCCAGCCAACAGAAUGGACCCCUCCUCUCAGUCAAUUGCAUUCCAAAGUUAUCCUAAGACAAGAGGUCAGGCCAUGAUGGAAAUGGGUGGUUGGAUGUACCUCAUUAUACCCUCCUUCCUUUGGAAUUCAGGCAAAACUAACCAGCAUUAACAUUAAAACAGAGACCUUAAGAUAAUUUAUUAUCUCUGAAGCCUGCACCUGGAAGCUUCAUCUGCAUAAUAAAAACUUUUAUUUCUACAAUCCUUUAUCCUAACCCUCUCUUUUAUUGAUUCCAGGUCUUUAGAUAAACUCAACCAACUGCCAAUCAGAAAAUCCUUCUAUGACCUGGAAGCCUCUGCUUUGAGUUGUUCCACCUUUCUGGACCAAACCAAUAUACACCUUACGUGUAUUAAUUGAUGUCUUAUGUUUCCCUAAAAAUAUAAAACCAAGCUGUAGACCAAUCACCUUGGGCACAUGUUCUCAAGAUCUGCUGAGGCUGUGUCACAGGCAUGUCUUUAACCUUGGCAAAAUAACCUCUAAAUUGAUUGAGACUUAUCUCAGUAUUGGUUUGUAGUAUGAAAAUUUCUGUAAAUCCUCGAGAAGUUGGGGUUUCAUUCUGAAGGCUCCCAU
rnacentral:lncRNA from 1 species